AUUACUAACUGAUUCAAGUAUUAUUUGUCAUUCUAGCCUUGCAGCUUCAUUGGAGGAAGUGAAUCUCAUGGACAUUUUUCUCUAAUAAAUGAGGCAUGUUCAAUGUUUGCUCAUACCAAUCCCCUGCAUUUGGAUGUAUUCAAGAGUGUUGCAUGCUUUGAGGCAGAAGUGGUUGCAAUGACAGCUGCACUUCUUGGAAGUAAGGAAAAGAAUUCUGGAGGACAAAUAUGUGGCAACAUGACACCAAGCGGGACUGAGUAUAUUAUUAGCUAUCAAGUCAUGUCGUGACUAAAUGAAAUCUGAGAAAGGAAUUACAAGACCUGAGAUUAUAUAUUUCCAAUGAAUAGCUGGUUCAAAUAAUGGAGAAACUAGCCUCUGGGAACUCAGUUUGCGAGAAAAGUUGGUUUCAGAGCCAUUCAAGAUAUGGGAUGUGGUUGCAUGCUCAUUACCAUUUCAGGCUGCUGCAUGAGCCCUGAUGGAAGUUUUGUGGUUCAUCAUAUCUUCCUUUCUCUUUCAUUGAAUCAAAGGAAGAACUACUAUUACUGGGGAACCAUAUUGAAAAAGAAGUGAGAGAGGAGAAGCAAGUGCCAUAGAAGAAGAAGCUGAAUAGUGAGAUUAAAGAUGGAAAGAAGUGUAUUUUACUAUGUAAUAUUUCUCCUAAUGUGUCAUUUCCUCUGUUCAGGUUACUCUACAAGUUGGUGCAAGUUGGUGUAUUGCAAGUCCAGCUGCUUCGCAGACUACUCUACAAGUUGCAUUGGACUAUGCUUGUGGCUUUGGUGGUGCUGAUUGCUCAGCAAUUCAACCUGGUGGAAGCUGUUACAACCCAAAUUCCAUCAGGAACCAUGCUUCUUAUGCCUUUAAUAAGUAUUAUCAAAAUAAUCAUUAGCACUGUUGUCAUCAUUAGCACUAACCCAAGUAAGGCCUUUGCUGUCAUCCUUCAAUUCUUUUUUCUUUUUUUUUUGAAUUUGAGUCCAUUAUUUUAGUUGUGGCAUUUUAAUUUAUUUUUUUACUUAACAUAAUAUUUAAUAGAAAUAUUAACAUGUCACUCUAAGACAUUCAGACAUUAAUAUUAUCAUAUUGACAUAACAUUCUAUUAUUAUACUAUCAUGCACAUAGUAUUUUUAUCAAAUAUUAUUUGCUAAGUUAUCAAAUAAACUAAUGCAUAAUUAAAAUAAUAGAGGAAAAAUUCACAAAAACAAAAAAUAUAUAGAAAGCAUAUAUAGAAAAGCUUUGAAGAGAGAACAGUGUAGAGAAAGCAUAUAUAGAAAAGCCCAAGGCCUUUUUGAAGUUUAAUAUACUUUUCUUAGAGCAGAAAACUAAGAACCAGUGCAAAAAAUUUAAAUAAGUAUUUAUAAAUUAAAAUUAAUUCAUAGAGAAGUUAAUUAAAGAAGUUUUUUCAAAAAAACUGAAGUGCAUAAAAAAUGUUAUUUUCUUAAUUUACUGAAAUGAUUAAACAAGUCAUAUUAAAAAAGAAGUCAUAUUAUUUUUUGACUAGUAAAAAAUAAAAAAUAAAACAAGUCAUAAAUAUAGUUAUGAUUUUGUAAAAGAAAAUAAUUAAGAUAUAUAAAAAUACAAGUCGUGUUUACAUAAAUUUUUGAUUUUUCAUUCAAUUGUGUUUUCCAGCCACAGCUUACAUGUUUUGGGGGAAAAAAUUCGCAACCUACCAAUUUCGUUAAUUAGUAAAAAGAUUACACCAUUGAAGGAUAAAAAAAAAGCCAGUUGUAUCGUUAUGAUAAACAGGUUAGAAAGCAAUAGUUUUUUUUUCCAACAGCUAAAAAUUAUAAUCAUUAAAAGCAAGGUAGAAGUCACAAGUUAUAGCACCUACCAAGCCAAAAUGUUACAGGAGCAUAUUUAGAGAACAAGGCUCACUUUGUCAACAUAAAGGGCCAUUAGUACAAAUCCUUUCCCCAUCUAGUGUGAUCCAACAAACUUACAGUUCUCACAUUAUUAAAAAAAUAAAAUUAAUUUUAGUUUUGAAUUUCUAUUUAUAUUUUAUUUUUAGUUUUUAAAAACAUGUUUCAAAUUAAAAUAAACAAAACGAGUUAAUCAUUUUAUCUUAUCUUAUUCUAUUAUGAAUGGAGGUGGUAGAGGUAACGGAUGGAAGUGAAGACAAUGACGAUGGUGACAAUAGUGGUGGUGUUGGUGAAAUGGUGGUAGUGGAAUAGUGGCGAUAAUGAUAGU